UAUUUCCUCUUACUCUAAACUUUUUUCUUCGUAACCCUCGUCGAGAAGACAACCCUCCCAUGUCACCUCCUUCAUCGGUCGUGACCCUUCCCUCGACAUCGUCCUCUCCCGCCUUAAACUCACUAGCAACCCCUUUCAUCACGACCAUGGCCACGAUUUCACCUUCAUCGUCCAUGCCUUCACCUCAUCCGCACAGAAACCCUAGACGAUGCAUUCUUCUCCGGUGACGAUGACAACGAUCACCACCUCUUUGGCUCCAUCCCUAAAUCCCUCGCCAACGCCACCUUUCUCACCCUUUAUCCCUUCCCUCACAUCCGAAUUCUUUGAUCUCCUCACCGAUGACAAAGUUUAGGUUUUCGAAGUCAUUCGCUCAUAAACCACCUUCAUGACCAAGUAUUAUCCUCUUUAUCGUUGUGAAUGUCUCCAACUCCACGGUGUCACCCUCACUUAGGACCACUUUUUUUCCAAACCCUCUUUUGCCUCUCAUACCACUCUAAGAUAGCCCUUUCCCUUCUCCCACGCGUUCUACACACUCCUCGUCAAUUCCAUGGCAAGGGUUUUCCAAUUUGACGUUGCAAGACAACCUCCACCAAACCUUUUCACUUUCAUAACCCUAAUUCGUCUCCUCGUACCCGCAGUUUGUUUUACACAAUGUGCCUUCUACGCUUCAAUGCAUUUGCCAAAACGACACCCAAAGAGUUAUGGUUCUUGCUAGAAACAGACUCGCCGAUUUUCACCCCUCACAUUUGACACCUUUGGACAUUGAUUUCUUUUGGAUCUAACUAUUAUACUAUAAUAUAAAUAUAAACUAUUUGUUUUCAUGUUUAUGUCAUUGCAGGUUUCUUUUUAGGUUGCUAGUACUCUGGAGCAACCAUUCCCUAAUAGGCAGUUUGAUUUGGUGUGGUCUAUGGAUAGUGGAAAGCACAUGCCUGACAAAAUUAAGGAUUAUAAUCUGCAUUGGCAAUUCAUGGUGUUGGAAACUACAACCCUUCUCCAUGUCAUGUAUUUGUAGUUGUUUUAAAGGGUAAGAUUAAGCAAGAAAGCAUACUAAGUGAAAAUGGUACCCACCAAGGAAGAGGAAUCCAUGCUCUUUUGAAGGGUUCGUGAGAACAAUGCUAGAUGUGCCAUAUGCCUUUCAAAGUGUAGAAGACAUUCUUUUGGGAGAGACAUUUGGCGAUGAAAUAGUUCACCUGAGACAACUUACAUAUUGAUUUGUACGUCUACAUUUUUUUGUACUUAUUUUCCAUCAAAAUUAGAAUUUUGAGCUGUCAAAUGAUAAGAUAAAACUAUCUUAGGGAUUUGAUACUGAUAUACAUUUUUGACAAAUUAAAGUUAUUUAAAAAAUUAUAGUUA